GAUUGAACGCUGGCGGCAUGCCUUACACAUGCAAGUCGAACGGCAGCGCGGGGCAACCUGGCGGCGAGUGGCGAACGGGUGAGUAAUAUAUCGGAACGUACCCUGGAGUGGGGGAUAACGUAGCGAAAGUUACGCUAAUACCGCAUACGAUCUAAGGAUGAAAGUGGGGGAUUCGCAAGGACCUCAUGCUCCUGGAGCGGCCGAUAUCUGAUUAGCUAGUUGGUAGGGUAAAAGCCUACCAAGGCAUCGAUCAGUAGCUGGUCUGAGAGGACGACCAGCCACACUGGAACUGAGACACGGUCCAGACUCCUACGGGAGGCAGCAGUGGGGAAUUUUGGACAAUGGCCGCAAGCCUGAUCCAGCAAUGCCGCGUGAGUGAAGAAGGCCUUCGGGUUGUAAAGCUCUUUUGUCAGGA
rnacentral:rRNA from 1 species